rnacentral:rRNA from 1 species
CUACGGGGGGCUGCAGUGGGGAAUAUUGGACAAUGGGGGAAACCCUGAUCCAGCAAUGCCGCGUGUGUGAAGAAGGCCUGCGGGUUGUAAAGCACUUUCGGUUGGGAGGACUGCUUCUAGCACUAAUAUUGUUGGAAGUUGACGUUACCUUCAGAAGAAGCACCGGCUACCUCCGUGCCAGCAGCCGCGGUAAUACGGAGGGUGCAAGCGUGUAAUCGGAAUUACUGGGCGUAAAGCGCGCGUAGGCGGCUAGAUCAGUCGGGUGUGAAAGCCCCGGGCUUAACCUGGGAACUGCAUCCGAUACUGUCUAGCUUGAGGACAGGAGAGGAGGGUGGAAUUCCACAUGUAGCGGUGAAAUGCGUAGAUAUGUGGAGGAACACCAAUGGCGAAGGCAGCUCUCUGGCCUGAUACUGACGCUGAGGUGCGAAAGUGUGGGGAGCAAACAGGAUUAGAUACCCUAGUAGUC